rfam:Colletotrichum sublineola strain TX430BB Scaffolds1500.1, whole genome shotgun sequence.
GGCCGGUUGGCCCAAUGGCAAGGCGUCUGACUACGAUAUACCGUGGAAUCAGGAGAUUGUGGGUUCGACCCCCAUGCUGGUCA